AUGAAUAAGGCCUUGGUUCCGCUUCAAAACAAACUUGCCCUGCUAUUCUUCGAUGAUAUCUUGAUGUACAACAAGAGACUAGAAGAGCAUUUAAUGCAUGGGAACAAAGUCCUUGGUAUUUUGCAUAGGGAACAGUGGAGCGUGAAAUUUUCUAAAUGUACCUUUUCCCAGAAUCAAGUGGCUUAUUUGGGGCAUGCCAUCACUGCUUAGGGUGUUUCUACUGAUGCUAGCAAGGUAUUAUCAGUCCAACAAUGGCCUACUCCUACAAAUGUCCAGGAAGUAAGAGGUUUUCCGGGAUUGAGUGGAUACUAUAGAAAGUUCAUUAAGCAUUAUGGGAUUAUUGCAAAACCAUUGACAUAUUUGUUUAAAAAGGUGUGCCAUUUCUUUGAGUCAUCAGUUUCUGAUUACCUUCUUUGCCUGAUUUUGAACUGA
rnacentral:rRNA from 1 species